rnacentral:rRNA from 1 species
GAUGAACGCUGGCGGCGUGCCUAAUACAUGCAAGUCGAGCGAACGGACGAGAAGCUUGCUUCUCUGAUGUUAGCGGCGGACGGGUGAGUAACACGUGGAUAACCUACCUAUAAGACUGGGAUAACUUCGGGAACCGGAGCUAAUACCGGAUAAUAUUUUUAACCGCAUGGUUCAAAAGUGAAAGACGGUCUUGCUGUCACUUAUAGAUGGAUCCGCGCUGCAUUAGCUAGUUGGUAAGGUAACGGCUUACCAAGGCAACGAUGCAUAGCCGACCUGAGAGGGUGAUCGGCCACACUGGAACUGAGACACGGUCCAGACUCCUACGGGAGGCAGCAGUAGGGAAUCUUCCGCAAUGGGCGAAAGCAUGACGGAGCAACGCCGCGUGAGUGAUGAAGGUCUUCGGAUCGUAAAACUCUGUUAUUAGGGAAGAACAUAUGUGUAAGUAACUGUGCACAUCUUGACGGUACCUAAUCAGAAAGCCACGGCUAACUACGUG